rnacentral:rRNA from 1 species
GGAAUAUUGGACAAUGGGCGCAAGCCUGAUCCAGCCAUGCCGCGUGAGUGACGAAGGCCUUAGGGUUGUAAAGCUCUUUUAGCAGGGACGAUAAUGACGGUACCUGCAGAAUAAGCUCCGGCUAACUUCGUGCCAGCAGCCGCGGUAAUACGAAGGGAGCUAGCGUUGUUCGGAAUUACUGGGCGUAAAGCGCGCGUAGGCGGCUUUGCAAGCCAGGGGUGAAAUGCCUGAGCUCAACUUGGGAAUUGCCUUUGGGACUGUGAGGCUUUGAGGACUGGAGAGGUGAGUGGAAUUCCCAGUGUAGAGGUGAAAUUCGUAGAUAUUGGGAAGAACACCGGUGGCGAAGGCGGCUCACUGGCCAGUUUCUGACGCUGCAGCGCGAAAGCGUGGGGAUCAAAC